CUACGUGCCAGCAGCCGCGGUAAUACGGAAGGUCCGGGCGUUAUCCGGAUUUAUUGGGUUUAAAGGGAGCGUAGGCCGGGGAUUAAGCGUGUUGUGAAAUGUAGACGCUCAACGUCUGACUUGCAGCGCAUACUGGUUCCCUUGAGUACGCACAACGUCGGCGGAAUUCGUCGUGUAGCGGUGAAAUGCUUAGAUAUGACGAAGAACUCCGAUUGCGAAGGCAGCUGACGGGAGCGCAACUGACGCUGAAGCUCGAAGGUGCGGGUAUCGAACAGGAUUAGAUACCCUGGUAGUCCGCACAGUAAACGAUGGAUGCCCGCUGUUGGUACUUGGUAUCAGCGGCUAAGCGAAAGCAUUAAGCAUCCCACCUGGGGAGUACGCCGGCAACGGUGAAACUCAAAGGAAUUGACGGGGGCCCGCACAAGCGGAGGAACAUGUGGUUUAAUUCGAUGAUACGCGAGGAACCUUACCCGGGCUUGAA
rnacentral:rRNA from 1 species